UACGGGGGUGGCAAGCGUUACUCGGAAUUAUUGGGUGUAAAGGGCAAGUAGGCGGUUUGUUAAGUGAGGGGUGAAAUCCUGAGGCUUAACCUCAGAAAUGCCUUUCAAACUGGCGAACUUGAGACCGAUAGGGGGAAAUGGAAUUAGCAGUGUAAGGGUGAAAUCUGUAGAUAUUGCUAAGAACACCAGCAGCGAAGGCGAUUUCCUGGAUCGGUUCUGACGCUAAAUUGCGAAAGCUAGGGGAG
rnacentral:rRNA from 1 species